CCUACGGGUGGCAGCAGUGGGGAAUAUUGCACAAUGGGGGAAACCCUGAUCCAGCAAAGCCGCGUGAGUGAAGAAUUAUUUCGGUAUGGAAAGCUCUAUUAGCAGGGAAGAAGAAAGACGGUACCUGACUAAGAAGCCCCGGCUAACUACGUGCCAGCAGCCGCGGUAAUACGGAGGGGGCAAGUGUGAUCCGGAUUUACUGGGUGUAACGGGAGCGUAGACGGGUGUGCACGUCUGAUGGGAAAGCCCGUGGCUCAACCGGGGAACUGCUUGGGAAACUGUAUAGCUUGAGUACGGGAGAGGCAUGCGGAAUUCGUGGGGUAGCGGUGAAAUGCGUAGAUAUCAGGAGGAACACCAGUGGCGAAGGCAGCCUGCUGGACAGAAACUGACGUUGAGGCUCGAAAGCGUGGGUAGCAAACAGGAUUAGAUACCCCGGUAGUC
rnacentral:rRNA from 1 species